rnacentral:rRNA from 1 species
GACGAACGCUGGCGGCGUGCCUAAUACAUGCAAGUAGAACGCUGAAGAGAGGAGCUUACUCUUCUUGGAUGAGUUGCGAACGGGUGAGUAACGCGUAGGUAACCUGCCUUGUAGCGGGGGAUAACUAUUGGAAACGAUAGCUAAUACCGCAUAACAAUGGAUGACACAUGUCAUUUAUUUGAAAGGGGCAAUUGCUCCACUACAAGAUGGACCUGCGUUGUAUUAGCUAGUAGGUGAGGUAAUGGCUCACCUAGGCGACGAUACAUAGCCGACCUGAGAGGGUGAUCGGCCACACUGGGACUGAGACACGGCCCAGACUCCUACGGGAGGCAGCAGUAGGGAAUCUUCGGCAAUGGGGGCAACCCUGACCGAGCAACGCCGCGUGAGUGAGGAAGGUUGUCGGAUCGUAAAGCUCUGUUGUAAGUCAAGAACGGGUGUGAGAGUGGAAAGUUCACACUGUGACGGUAGCUGACCAGAAAGGGACGGCUAACUACGUG